UUGGGCGUAAAGCAAGCGCAGGCGGAUUGAUAAGUUCUGUGUUAAAAGCAGCUGCUCAACAGUUGUUUGCACCGAAUACUGUCAGUCUAGAAUGUGGUAGGGAGUUUCGGAAUUAAAUAUGGAGCGGUGGAAUGUGUAGAUAUAUUUAAGAACACCAGAAGCGAAGGCGGAAACUCAGGCCAUUAUUGACGCUUAGGCUUGAAAGUGUGGGGAGCAAAUGGGAUUAGAUACCCCAGUAGUCCACACCGUAAACGAUGGGUAUUAGAUGUCGGGUUUUAAUUCUCGGCGUUGUAGCUUACGUGUUAAAUACCCCGCCUGGGUAGUACAUAUGCAAAUAUGAAACUCAAAGGAAUUGACGGGGACCUGAACAAGUGGUGGAACAUGUUGCUUAAUUCGAUAAUACACGAAAAACCUUACCAAGGUUUGACAUCCCCCGCAAAGCCAUGGAAACAUGGUGGAGGUUAUCGGGGUGACAGGUGGUGCAUGGUUGUCGUCAGCUCGUGUCAUGAGAUGUUUGGUUAAGUCCCGCAACGAGCGCAACCCUACUCCUUAGUUACCUUUUCUAGGGAGACUGAACAGUAAUGUAUAGGAAGGUUGGGAUCACGUC
rnacentral:rRNA from 1 species